rnacentral:tRNA from 2 species
CGGGGCGUAGCGCAGCCUGGUAGCGCGCCUGCCUUGGGAGCAGGAGGUCAUGGGUUCGAAUCCCGUCGCCCCGA